rfam:Oryza glaberrima chromosome 5 Oglab05_0004_1, whole genome shotgun sequence.
AAUAAAUGCAAUUUUGGCACUGUUCAUGUCCAGCGUUUGACCGUUCGUCUUAUUUAAAAAAAUUAUGAUUAGUAUUUUUAUUGUUAUUACAUGAUAAAACAUGAAUAGUACUUUAUGUGUGACUAUUUUUUUUUUAAUUUUUUCAUAUUUUUUUUAAAUAAGACGGACGGUCAAAACGCUGAACACGGAUAUCUAUGGCUGCACUUAUU